rnacentral:rRNA from 1 species
UACGAAGGGUGCAAGCGUUAAUCGGAAUUACUGGGCGUAAAGAGCUCGUAGGCGGUUUGUCGCGUCUGCUGUGAAAACUCGGGGCUUAACUCCGGGCCUGCAGUGGGUACGGGCAGACUAGAGUGCGGUAGGGGAGACUGGAAUUCCUGGUGUAGCGGUGAAAUGCGCAGAUAUCAGGAGGAACACCGGUGGCGAAGGCGGGUCUCUGGGCCGUAACUGACGCUGAGGAGCGAAAGCGUGGGGAGCGAACAGG